UACAGAGGUGGCAAGCGUUGUUCGGAAUUACUGGGCGUAAAGGGCUCGUAGGCGGUCUGUUGCGUCGGGAGUGAAAACUCAGGGCUUAACCCUGAGCCUGCUUCCGAUACGGGCAGACUAGAGGUAUGCAGGGGGAGAACGGAAUUCCUGGUGUAGCGGUGAAAUGCGCAGAUAUCAGGAGGAACACCGGUGGCGAAGGCGGUUCUCUGGGCAUUACCUGACGCUGAGGAGCGAAAGUGUGGGGAGCAAACAGGAUUAGAU
rnacentral:rRNA from 1 species